CCUACGGGUGGCAGCAGUGAGGAAUAUUGGUCAAUGGACGAGAGUCUGAACCAGCCAAGUAGCGUGAAGGAUGACUGCCCUAUGGGUUGUAAACUUCUUUUAUCUGGGAAUAAAAUGUUCCACGUGUGGGAUUUUGUAUGUACCAUAUGAAUAAGGAUCGGCUAACUCCGUGCCAGCAGCCGCGUUAAUACGGAGGAUCCGAGCGUUAUCCGGAUUUAUUGGGUUUAAAGGGAGCGUAGGUGGAUUGUUAAGUCAGUUGUGAAAGUUUGCGGCUCAACCGUAAAAUUGCAGUUGAAACUGGCAGUCUUGAGUACAGUAGAGGUGGGCGGAAGUCGUGGUGUAGCGGUGAAAUGCUUAGAUAUCACGAAGAACUCCGAUUGCGAAGGCAGUUCACUGGACUGCAACUGACACUGAGGCUCGAAAGUGUGGGUAUCAAACAGGAUUAGAUACCCUUGUAGUC
rnacentral:rRNA from 1 species